rnacentral:rRNA from 1 species
CCUACGGGGGGCUGCAGUGAGGAAUAUUGGUCAAUGGGCGUAAGCCUGAACCAGCCAAGUCGCGUGAGGGAUGAAGGUUCUAUGGAUCGUAAACCUCUUUUAUAAGGGAAUAAAGUGUGGGACGUGUCCUAUUUUGUAUGUACCUUAUGAAUAAGGAUCGGCUCACUCCGUGCCAGCAGCCGCGGUAAUACGGAGUGUCCGAGCGUUACCCGGAUUUAUUGGGUUUAAAGGGGGCGUAGGCGGCCUUUUAAGUCAGCGGUGAAAGUCUGUGGCUCAACCAUAGAAUUGCCUUUGAAACUGGGGGGCUUGAGUAUGUUUGAGGCAGGCGGAAUGCGUGGUGUAGCGGUGAAAUGCUUAGAUAUCACGCAGAACCCGGAUUGCGAAGGCAGCCUGCCAAGCCAUGACUGACGCUGAUGCACGAGAGCGUGGGGAUCAAACAGGAUUAGAUACCCGUGUAGUC